rnacentral:rRNA from 1 species
UACUGAGGAUGCGAGCGUUAUCCGGAUUUAUUGGGUUUAAAGGGUGCGUAGGCGGAUCGUUAAGUCAGUGGUCAAAUUGAGGGGCUCAACCCCUUCCCGCCAUUGAAACUGGCGAUCUUGAGUGGAAGAGAAGUAUGCGGAAUGCGUGGUGUAGCGGUGAAAUGCAUAGAUAUCACGCAGAACCCCGAUUGCGAAGGCAGCAUGCCGGCUUCCGACUGACGCUGAAGCACGAAAGCGUGGGGAUCGAACAGG